rnacentral:rRNA from 1 species
UACAGAGGUCCCAAGCGUUGUUCGGAUUUACUGGGCGUAAAGGGUGCGUAGGUGGUUGGGUAAGUCUGAUGUGAAAUCUCCGGGCUCAACCCGGAAAUGGCAUUGGAUACUAUUUGACUAGAGGGUUGGAGGGGGGACUGGAAUACUUGGUGUAGCAGUGAAAUGCGUAGAUAUCAAGUGGAACACCAGUGGCGAAGGCGAGUCCCUGGACAACUCCUGACACUGAGGCACGAAAGCUAGGGGAGCAAACAGG